rnacentral:rRNA from 1 species
UGGGGAAUAUUGCACAAUGGGGGAAACCCUGAUGCAGCGACGCCGCGUGAGUGAAGAAGUAUUUCGGUAUGUAAAGCUCUAUCAGCAGGGAAGAAAAUGACGGUACCUGACUAAGAAGCCCCGGCUAACUACGUGCC